rnacentral:rRNA from 1 species
UACGUAGGGUGCAAGCGUUAAUCGGAAUUACUGGGCGUAAAGCGUGCGCAGGCGGUUUUGUAAGUCUGUCGUGAAAUCCCCGGGCUCAACCUGGGAAUUGCGAUGGAGACUGCAAGGCUAGAAUCUGGCAGAAGGGGGGUAGAAUUCCACGUGUAGCAGUGAAAUGCGUAGAGAUCGGAAAAGAACACCAACGGCGGAAAGCACUCUGCUGGGCCGACACUGACACUGAGAGACGAAAGCUAGGGGAGCGAAUGGG